AUUGGACAAUGGGCGCAAGCCUGAUCCAGCCAUGCCGCGUGAGUGACGAAGGCCUUAGGGUUGUAAAGCUCUUUUGGCGGGGAAGAUAAUGACGGUACCCGCAGAAUAAGCUCCGGCUAACUUCGUGCCAGCAGCCGCGGUAAUACGAAGGGAGCUAGCGUUGUUCGGAAUCACUGGGCGUAAAGCGCACGUAGGCGGAUGUGUCAGUCAGGGGUGAAAUCCCGGAGCUCAACUUCGGAACUGCCCUUGAUACAGCACGUCUCGAGUCCGAGAGAGGUGAGUGGAAUUCCUAGUGUAGAGGUGAAAUUCGUAGAUAUUAGGAAGAACACCGGUGGCGAAGGCGGCUCUCUGGCUCGAUACUGACGCUGAGGAGCGAAAGCGUGGGGAGCAAACAGGAUUAGAUACCCUGGUAGUCCACGCUGUAAACGAUGGAUGCUAGGUGUGGGGACCA
rnacentral:rRNA from 1 species